ensembl:lncRNA
GGCUUCUCAGAAAAUUAUUAAUAAAUCAAAUCCUUUCAAAUAAUGCAUCAGGAAACUAGUUAAAAGAAACCUUUGAUGAAUUCAAGAUCUGUUUUGGACAACACAGAUAAUCAUCUUCUAAUGGACUCGUUUUCUAAGUUCAGAUCUCUAGGAAUGGUUUAUUUUUUAAAGGAUACCCCUAUAAUUUUGCCUCAGCAAAUCAUACUUCUCUUUGUUUCCUUUUAAAGUAAGCUUUAUAAGUAGGAAAAAAUACUAUGAAAACUUCAAAUAUUAGAACAUUUUGAAAAGAUAAUCUGAGUAAAACUCAGUUUUUAAAAUGAUAAUUUUGAAAAAAAAUAAAGAAAUUGGCUUUGCUAUAGAUACAGAAAGAGAAUCUAUAGCUUAUCAUUUCUAAAAGUUAAUGUAUGCCGUAUUUUAAAAGUUACUAAACCAGGAGUGCCAUAAUUCUUGGCAUUUUAUUUUACCUCUGUUUUUGUACUUGUUAAAAACUUAAAAUGAAUUCAGAAGCCACAAGAUAAUAAAAUUUCUGCUAAAAGUGAAUAUAAUCAGAGGAAUUAUCAUCAUACAGGUAAAAACAGAUGUGUGGGUUCUUAAAAAAAUUGAACACAGAAUUACCACAUGACCCAGCAAUAUUACUUUCUGGUAUAUACCCAAAAUAAUUGAAAGUAGGGGCCUGAACAGAUAUUUGUACUCAAUGUUCAUAGCAGUGUUAUUCAAAAAUAGGAAAAAGGUACAAACAACUCAAAAGUCCAUUGACACAAGAAUGGAUAAGCCAAGUAUAGUACAUACAUACAAUGCAAUAUUAUUCAGCCUUAAAAAGGAAGAAAAUUCUGACACAUGCUACAACACGGAUGAACCUGACACGUUAUGCUAAGUGAAAUAAGACAGACACAAAAGGACAAACAUUGUACGAUUUCAUUUAUAUGAUGUCUGUAAAGUAGUCAAAUUCUCAGACACAAAAAGUAGAACUGUGCUUGCCAGGGGGUUGGGAAAAGUGGGGAAUAGGAGUUAUUAUUUUUUAUCUUGCAGAACUGAGACCAUUAGGCAAAUGGUCUCAGUUGUGCAAGAUAAAAAGAGUUCUGCAGAUGGAUGUUGGUGGUGGUUGCUCAACAACAUAAAUGUACUUAAAGCCACUAAAUUGUACACUUAAAAAUCACUAAAUGAUAUUUUACUACAAUUUUUUUUAAAAAGAACAAAUUUGUGGCAUUUUCAGAUGUGAUGAUAAUCAAAGACGUUUAAAUUAGAGCUGGAUGUCAAGGAAGCCGGGUCCCAAAAAAGUAUACUGAGUGGUCUCUGUCAGACCCCAACAGAAUUCCCCUAACAUCCAAGACACUAGUAUUAUCUUGUGAAACUGGGGUAGGCAACACAGGGAAUGGCCUCAUUUUAUUCUAUUUUAUUUUUCCUUUUUGUGGAAAACAGGUUCUUGCUAUGUUGCCCAGGCUGGUCUUGAACUCCUAGUCUCAAGCUAUCAUUUCAGACUUAAUGUUGGUCCUUUUUUCCCAGAAUGUAAUUUCAUAAACGAUUACUUCUUGGUAGUGGAUAUUUGAAUAAAAUUCAUGUAUUCCUUAAUUUUUUAUAACAUUGUCAAAAAAAAAAAAAAA